rnacentral:rRNA from 1 species
ACGUAGGUGGCAAGCGUUAUCCGGAAUUACUGGGUGUAAAGGGCGCGCAGGCGGCUUUGUAAGUCGGAUGUGAAAGACAAAGGCUCAACCUUGACAGGCCAUUCGAAACUGUAGGACUUGAGUGACAGAGAGGAAAGUGGAAUUCCUAGUGUAGCGGUGAAAUGCGCAGAUAUUAGGAGGAACACCGGUGGCGAAGGCGACUUUCUGGCCUACAACUGACGCUGAGGCACGAAAGCGUGGGGAGCAAACAG